CAUCAAUCAUAUUGUCUAUUCUAGUCUGCUGCCCUUCCUAUCCUCCUACCCCUCCCCUCCUCUCCCAUCCUUUCUCUCUAUCCAAUUUAAUGUGACACACUUUUUUUUCUGACAAGAACAAUUUUAAUGGGGCAAAGUUCAUUUGAGGGUUCAUGGUUUCAGAGGUUUCGGUCCAUAGAUAGCCUGCUCCAUUCCUCAGGGUUUGAGGUGAGGCAGAACAUCAUGGCAGAAGGUGUGACAGAGGGAAGCAGUGAUGAUCAGGAAACAGAGAAACUCCACUGCCAGAUACAAAAUAUACACCCCAAAGGCACACCCAGAGACCCACAUCCUUCAGCCUCACCCUACCUGCCUUCAGUUACCAAUCAGGGGAUUGAUUGAUUGGGUUAAGGAUCUCAUAACCCAAUCAUUUCUGCUCUGAAUGUUCUUGCAUUGUUUUACACAUGAUCUUCUGGGAGACACCUCACAUCCAAACUAUAAUAUCUAUAGCUCUCCUGUAAAAGCAAAAAAAAGAAAACAACAAAAAAAAAAACCACAAAAUUAUCAUUAGUGUUUUAUAUUUGAAGAUCAGAAAAAAAAACUCUAUUCCAUAGCAACCUAUUGGUCAGAACAGAUACAUUUACAGUUCUGAGAUCUGUUUAAGAGAACCCUUAGUGUAUAUAUAUUCUCAAACUAUGAAUAAGGAUUAUAAAUGGUGAAAUGAAAUUGAAUUUGCUAGGUUCUCGUAUGCUUCCAGCCCUCGAUUUUAAUAGUACUGCUUCUUAAUCAAAGUUCAUAAUCUCCCGAACUAGACUGUGAUCUUCUAGAAUAGACUACCCUUUUUGUCCCUCUUUUCUUUCAGUACAAUGACCCUGGCCAGGUUUACAGACUGAACUCGAAAAUACUGUUAUCUAGUAUGUUACUGUCUGAUACUGUGUAGAUGUUACUGUUUCAUAUCUACUCUGUGGCAUAAUACUAAGUAGUUUUGUUAUUGUGGUUUUGAGCUGAGCCAGUAGAAUGCUUUUGUAAUUGUGUGUCAGAGUUUCUGGUGCUUUUUCCAGGAAGCUGGAACUGAAUUAUUUUCAGAACUUUUAUAUAACUUAGUCUAUCAUCUUUAGUCCAAGAUUAAACAAAUACCGUAUGUGCCUAUGGCCUACAUUAUACAAAAUGUGAAAGGGUUAUAGCUGAAACACUCCCUAAGUGGCUUUCUGCGGCCAAGAAUACUUUCUGGAAUUAUCCAAAAUAUAUGAUGAAGCCAAAAGAGGUUUUUAAACACACCCUUUCUUCCCCUUAGGGUUUUCCCUAAGUCAUCCCUUCCCUGUCAGAGCUUGCUGCACACACAGAGGCACAGCACUUGACAGGUGUUAGGAGCUACAUUAGCCACUCAUGUAGUUGUCUAACCCACUAGACUUUGUAAGUGCCUCAAGACCAGGAACCCUCCCCUUACCUCAAUACCUCUUCUGGGCCUGUUUUUUGACCUGAACAGAGGGGAAAAAAACCCACAGGACCCAAAAGACUGAAAUAAGUAGUCUAAGUGGAGCAGAGAGAGCAGCCACAGCUUGGGAUGACAUAACAGAGCAGUCAUGGAAGACCCAUGGUGAAGAUGUGUUCUCAUAUUCUUACAGGUGAGAAAUUUCAGACAUCCCUCAUUUUAUUGUGCUUCUCAAAUAUUGUGGGCUUUCUGUGUUUAUUUUACAAAUUGUAGCAAACCCAUGUCAAGCAAGCCUGUUCAAACCAUUUUUUUCAUGUGUCUGGGUCAAAUGUUGGUAAUUUUAACAAUAUUUCAAGUUUUUCCAUUAUUAUUAUUUCUGCUGCAGUGAUCCAUGAUUAAUGAUCUUUGAUGUUACUGCUGUAGUUUUUUGGGGGCACCAUGAAUGUCCAUCACAUAACAGGCCAACUGAGUCAGUAGGCCUUGCCUAUGUUCUGACUGCUUCACUGACUGUUGUUCAUUCCCCAUUCCUCUUCCUCUCCUUGAGCCUCCCUAUUCCCUAAGACACAACAACAUUAAAAAGAGUUCAAUUAAUAACCCAUAAAGGCCUGUAAGCGUUCCAAAGAAAGGUAGAGGUUCAGGUCUCUCACUUUAAAUAAAAAACUAGAAGUGAUUAAAUUUAGUGAGGAAUACAAACCAAAAGCUGAGAAAGGUUGAAAGCCAAGUCUCUGGUGGCAAACAGUUAGCCUAGCUGUGAAUGCAAAGGAAAGUUCUUGAAGGAAAUUAAAAGCGCUACUCCAAUGAACACACAAGUGAUUUAAAAAAAAUUUUUUUUAAAAAAAGCAAAUAGCUUAUUGCUGAUGUUGAGAAAGUUUUAGUGGUCUAGAUAGAAGAUGAAACCAGCCACAACACUCCUUUCACCAAAGCCUCACCCAGAGCAAAACCAGCUCUCUUCAAAUCUGUGAAGGUGGAGAGAGGUGAGGAAGCUGCAGAAGAGAAGUUUGAAGCUAGCAGAAGUUGAUUCCUGAGGUUUAAGGAAAGAAGCCAAAUCCAUAACAUAAGGUACAAAAUGAAGCAUCAAGUGCUGAUGCAGAAGCUGCAGCAAGUUACCCAGAAGAUAACUAAUGAAGGUGGCUAAACUCAUGUAGAUGAAAUAGCCGUCUAUUGGAAGAAGGCACCUAGGACUUUAAUAGCUAGAGAGAAGUCAAUGCCUGGCUUUGAAGCUUCAAAGGACAGGCUUUCUUGUUGGGGGUAAUCCAGUUAAUGACUUUUAAAUUGAAGCUAGUGCUUACUUCCCAUUUACCAAAUCCUAGGUCCUUAAGAAUUAUACUACAUCUACUCUGCCUGUGCUUUAUAAAUGGAGCAAGCCUAGAUGAAUUUUAAGCCCAUUGUUGAGA
rnacentral:lncRNA from 1 species